rnacentral:rRNA from 1 species
AUUGAACGCUGGCGGCAUGCUUUAGACAUGCAAGUCGAACGGAAACAGGACGCUGUGAUCUCUUCGGAGUGAACUUGUCGCUGUCGGGUGGCGGACGGGUGAGUAAUGCUUAGGAAUCCGCCCAGUAGUGGGGGACAACAGUUGGAAACGACUGCUAAUACCGCAUACGCCCUACGGGGGAAAGCAGGGGAUCUUCGGACCUUGCGCUAUUGGAUGAGCCUAAGUCGGAUUAGCUUGUUGGUGGGGUAAUGGCCUACCAAGGCAACGAUCCGUAGCUGGUCUGAGAGGAUGAUCAGCCACACUGGGACUGAGACACGGCCCAG